CUAUGAAGAGUCUUGGCAUUUAAUUCGUUCAGUGUGUCUUUUGUGUUUGGAAAUGCUUUUCUGUCUGCACUGGGAAUGUGUUUCUGCUGGAGAGAAAUGACUUUGCAGGUGAACAGAAUAACAGCAAAGAGCGGUACAAGCACCACUGGGUCCCCCCGGCGCCCUCCGAGGGCUCCGGGUACCGGUGCGUUAGGAUCAGCCACAAGAUGGACCCCUUGAUACGCGAGGCGGCGGGGAUGAUCGGACUGAGCCGCGAGAGACUCUUCCGGCUCCUACCCAGCGAAUUGACUCUGGGUCGACCCUUUCGAGGUGUCCUAUCGUAUAGGUGAAAACGGCUCUGUCUGCGCCCUUUACGAAAGUCUCCAGCCGGGGAAGGAGACGACCGAACCUCUGGAGAGUAGGACCAGCCGUAAGGAGCGGCAGAUCCAGCCCUUCCAAGAAUUACAUCAUGAUGACAGUUUCUAGUGAAGUUCCUGUUCUUUGUUCAACGGUGUAUAUAUAUCCUGGUUUCUGAUAAAAGUAGAUGCAACCGAGAUCUUUAUUCUCUUUUUAUUGGCAGUGGUAGUAUUUUCCACCCUGUAGUCAUUAAAGCCGUAGUUAGCACUGCCAAAUUCUUUGUGGCCAAGGACUUAUGUAUAACGCAGUUCUUUAAGCUGCCUGUUACUCUGGAUCAUGUACUGUAAAUGCACUGUGCAGUCAGCUGACUGUUUUACAUAUAUUUUCAAGGAAGUACUAGCUAUUUGUAAUAAAAAUGUCGUAGCACUCUUCAUGAUGAAUUUUCAUCAAGAUUAACGCUUGGUUUAAAAAAAACAACUCAACUUGCAAAGCAAUUAAAAAGAAUUAAAAACAAAUUUAAUGAGCUGCACGUAAAUCUUUCCAGUGACUUGUCUGCACAGUUUUCUCAGGGUCGUUCAAGUUUGGCUGUAAGGCACAACUAACAAAAAGUAACUUAUAUUUUUUCCUCUUUCAAAGCAUGCUUUUAUGUCAGGGCUGGGUUUCAUCUUGCCCCAACAUUUUGACAAAAGGGACUAGGGAAAUAGUUACCUUGUUAUUUCUAGUUAUUGAAGUAUAAUAAUAAAGACUUGUUCAAACUGC